GUGAAAAACUUAAAACUCCAAGGACUUGGCGGUGCUCCACAUCGUCCUAGAGGAGCCUGUCCUAUAAUCGAUACCCCCCGUUCCACCUUUACCAUUUUUUGUAAACCUCAGCCUAUAUACCGCCGUCGUCAGCCUACCUUAUGAAAGACUAAAAGUAAGCAAAAUAGUUAAUAACUAGAACGUCAGGUCAAGGUGUAGCACAUAAAAUGGAAGAGAUGGGCUACAUUUUCUUUUUCAGAAAACACGAAUGACACGAUGAAACCCGUACCUGAAGGAGGAUUUAGCUGUAAGACAAGCCAGAGAACUUGUCUAAACCCGCUCUGGAGCGCGC
rnacentral:rRNA from 1 species